UAUAUUGUAUUUAAAGUUUUCAUUAAACUCGGUUGGUAUACGCAGUGUAAGCCCAACCCACCUACCCAAACCCUAACUAUAUAAUCCCUUUUAUCUUUCUUUCCUCCCCUCAUUUGCACCAAACACUUGCCCCAAAUAUUACAGCUUUCUAGACAAACACAAACUUCAGAUUGUUACUCGACAAACACACCCAUUGCAACUUUCUAGAGAGAGAGAGAGAGAGAGAGUCAGGAGAGUGUGAGAGAGGGGGACGACCGACUGCCACCAUGGGCGGUGGAGCUCCGGUGGCGGCGGUUGUUGGCGUUGUUUGGACUGUGAUCGAGCGGCAGAAGAGAAAGACGGGGCAUGGUGUGCGACGGCAGUGGUUUCGUGGCGGCGUGCCGUCUUUCCGACGAAACAACAUCAGCAACGACAUCAAUAUUGGAGGUCAUUUGGACCUCCGAUGACAGCGACGUACGGCUCCGGGGUUCGGGUUCAGAUUGGGGUCCUUAAAUGUUCGGUUUUGGAGGCGACACAAGGUAUUGGGUUUCUACAUGUAUUGUUGAUGGAUCUGUGGAGGAACUCGGCUGUGGACUAACAAGCCCAAGAUUGAGUCUAUCAUAUUGGUCAAUACAAACCUAUCAGACAAGAAACUACUAAGGGGAAGGGCGGCUACAUGGGCAUGCAUUAGCGGCAGAAGAUUUCGUGAAUUAUUGAAUAAAACCGGAAGCUUUAUGAACUCCUUUAAGUUUUUUUUCUGUAAUGUAUGUUUUUAGACUUGGCAUACAUGUUUGUUCUUAAACACAUUCCACAAACAAAGUUUCCUGUGCUAUGCACGCCUUAAAUUUUGUGUGGCCGGCUUAUGGUA